rnacentral:lncRNA from 1 species
AUGCACGGGUCAGUCGCGCAGCUGCCCAGGACGCUGCCGCGCUGCUUGCUGGGAGGCGUAGUCUCUGCCGGAUGGACCGGCAGUCCUCAGAAGAUAGGACUGGGUGAGGAGCCUUCUACUGCAGGAGCACUGACAGGAGGACAAACUCCACGCAUUUCAGAGGAUUUGAAGGGGGUCUGGGCCACUCACGACUUACAGAGAAAGCCGCUGAGGAAGACCAGUAUAACCCUACUUAGAGACUUCUUCCAACCCAAUCUCUGGCUGCAGUCUUUUCUGGUCUUCAACCAAGGGAGGUAUGUGGUUUGAGGGAUGCUAGAUAGUGUGCCUGAAUAACCAGGAAAUAGGGUGUCUUCUCCUUUAUGGCUGCCUGAUUGGCACUUACCUCUUGGGGAAAAAAAUACUAUCCCAAAGGCUCAAUAUUUAAAAAUCCUAAUUUAGUUUAAAUUCUUAUGUAUUAAGCUGUUACCUUUGGUAGUUUGCUACUAAAUCAAGGUAAAAUGACAGAACAUGGAAAUUAGAAAUUGCCUUUUAUCUCUUUCAUCUUUUUUGGAGUCGUAUUAUGAAAGCAUUCACCUUCGAGUGGCUUCUUGGAAAUGUAUGAAAAAUAGAAGGACUGUCUGCUCUUCCCCAAAUUUCUCUGAUCUUUUCAGGCGUCAGUUGGGGUCCCCUCUUUGUGUCGGUAUCUGUCUGUGAGUGUGGCGGCUAAGGGGGGCAAGAGGGACGCCACUGUAUGUUUCCCCGUUAUUUCACAUGCUGCUGCUCCCGAGGCCUGGCUGGAAAAAAGCGGGACAUUCGGCUUAGACAGAUGGAGGGCAGGGUCAUUUUCAAAAUGGAAUGAGUACACAAAUCACACUGUGAAAUUGGCAUGACCAUCACUGCUGCUGUGAUAGACGGACUUUUAUUUAGUCUGUGAUGGGCAGUUGGGGAAUAGA